GACGAACGCUGGCGGCGUGCUUAACACAUGCAAGUCGAACGGAAAGGCCCUGCUUUUGUGGGGUGCUCGAGUGGCGAACGGGUGAGUAACACGUGAGUAACCUGCCCUUGACUUUGGGAUAACUUCAGGAAACUGGGGCUAAUACCGGAUAGGAGCUCCUGCUGCAUGGUGGGGGUUGGAAAGUUUCGGCGGUUGGGGAUGGACUCGCGGCUUAUCAGCUUGUUGGUGGGGUAGUGGCUUACCAAGGCUUUGACGGGUAGCCGGCCUGAGAGGGUGACCGGCCACAUUGGGACUGGGGUACGGCCCAGACCCCUACGGGAGGCAGAGGGGGGGAAUAUUGCAAAAGGGGGGGAAGCGUGAUGCAGAAACGCCGCGUGGGGGAUGACGGCCUUCGGGUUGUAAACCGCUUUCGCCUGGGACGAAGGGUGAGUGACGGUAAGUGGGAAAGGAGCACCGGCUAACUACGU
rnacentral:rRNA from 1 species